rnacentral:rRNA from 1 species
CCUACGGGAGGCAGCAGUGGGGAAUAUUGGACAAUGGGCGAAAGCCUGAUCCAGCAAUUCCGCGUGUGUGAAGAAGGCCUUCGGGUUGUAAAGCACUUUAGUGGGGGAAGAAACAGCUUGGCCACACCAAGCCUUGACGGUACCCCAAGAAUAAGCACCGGCUAACUCUGUGCCAGCAGCCGCGGUAAUACAGAGGGUGCAAGCGUUAAUCGGAUUUACUGGGCGUAAAGGGUGCGUAGGUGGCUAUUUAAGUCGGAUGUGAAAGCCCGGGGCUCAGCCUCGGAAUUGCAUUCGAUACUGAGUGGCUAGAGUUCGGUAGAGGGCGGCGGAAUUUCCGGUGUAGCGGUGAAAUGCGUAGAUAUCGGAAGGAACAUCAAUGGCGAAGGCAGCCGCCUGGGCCUGGACUGACACUGAGGCACGAAAGCGUGGGUAGCAAACAGGAUUAGAUACCCUGGUAGUCCACGCCGUAAACGAUGAGAACUUGACGUUGGUUCGUUUUACGAAUCGGUGUCGCAGCUAACGCGAUAAGUUCUCCGCCUGGGGGUACGCCGCAAGGUUGAAACUUAAGAUAGUAGCGUGNGAGNGCGACGACGACACGAGGAGGGUAGAG